UAACGUCAUCUGGUUGUCAGUUCCUCCAACGCAGCAUUACGUCGAACACCUUGUCAAAAAUGAUUGAGAUGGCCAAUCAAAUUAAAAAAGGCGAGUGCCACUGGCCAAUCACAUAACAGAAAACGAGCUUUCCUGUUAACGCAAGCCGAGCGGCGGCCAAUCAAAUUAACCAAUAGGCGGGUUUACCGCCAGGAGAAGCAGUUACACCGUGUCAAUCAAUCAUAACGGACACGGAUUUCAAAGGCAGCAGGAUGAAAGAUAACCAUCUAUCAGGUCUGAGUUCAUUAAGACAUGAAGACUCUGGAGUGGGACAAGAAGGAUGAUGGGGUGUAUAUUCCAAUAGACACAUUAAGGUAAAUUAAAUAUUAAGGCUCAUGUUUGCAUCUUUGUGUUUAUAUAUCAAAAGAUUGCUCUGUGAUUUCAGUGAAAGCUGAUAAAUACAGAGGGCUGGACAGUGGUUUCAUUGAUUAAGUGAGUAAGAACUGACCAUAGCCUAACAUUAAUUUAGUUACCCGAAUUGCAUUGUUGAAUACAAAGGAAAAUGGUAAAAAUACAAAUAUUUUGAAUAUGGAAUACUGUGAAAUUAUUUUCUGUUAAUCAUCUGCUUUGUUUGCUUCAGGUAAAGAGGUGGGACAAUGAUGCUGACAGGACAGGAGGAGGUGACAUUCAGACAUUCAGCGCAGACAUUUUCAUCCAAAGCAACUUGAGGAAGAAAACAAGAAGCAGUUCAUCCUAAAAGUGGGCUGCUGUAUGGAAAGAGGAGCUGAGAAGAAAAGAGACGCUGGAAAGCAGUACUUCUUGUUGAGGACAAUCCUGAAUAGGAACACUUUCUCAUAUACACAUAGAUUAUAAUUUAGUGUUUGAUAUUUUUUUCAUUUUUAUUAAUUGUAUUGUUUUAAUUUUUCGUUUUAUUUGAAAUUACCUAAGUUAGAUUCAUGCUAAUACUUUAACUGGAACUUGUAUCUUUGCGUGAAGCUGGAUGUAGAGUUGGUUUCACUUUCACAUACACAUGAAGUUUCUAAAUAACUUAACUAACUUUUAAGUUCAGUUUGGUUUAAACUUGUAUUUACCCAUGGUUAUUCAUUUAAAUUUCAAUUCAUCCUAAUAUAUUAAUUUCAAUGAAAACUUCUGUAUUUGUGUAUAGCUGGUUAUUUGGGCAAACUACAUUUCACACCAAUGUAACUGUCACAAAGUUUUUUUACUAUCAGUUUGUUCUAAAUUUUUGUUUGUUUACUAAGGAUGAAAUUGCUUUGUAAUUUAAGUUGUUGGUGUUAGAUUCAUGCCAAUAAUGUAUUUGAACAAACUAGUAUUUUUGUUUAUUGCUGGCAGUUUAUUCUAGAAGAGUUUUAACACGUACAAUGUUGUAGUGUUAUUGACUUGUGUGUUAU